GUAUAAUGUACGUCAAUAAUCAAACAAUAUUAUACUUGUGUAAAUGCUCUGAAAAUAACUGAUGGAUUUAUACACGUUAUCGGAAUUUUCUUAACAACUUUUUGUCUCAUUCGAUAAACGGUAUGUGGGCAUUAAGAUUAAGCAUGUGGUCAGUGGUAACAAAUUACAAUCAGCAGUGUGAGCAACUGGAUAAUAGUUGACAACAGUUUUCACUAUAUUAUGUAUACUGUAUAGUGUAUUAAAAUAUAGUUGUGAAUUGUGAUACGUGAAUCAUAGUAAGUCAACUAGGUACACGAGUUUAGACUUAAGUUAUUUUAUUAUUUAGUUGUGUCAUAGAGAAGACAAUUUUUUUUAUAAGUCUAAAAAUGGAAGGAAAAAGAAAAAAAUGUAAAAAUACUAGAAAUACACUUUUUUUAUAUUUUUCAAAAAAAAUCGUUCUAUUGAAAAUAAAGAAGAUUGUAAUGAGGUAUUGUUGAAAAAUUAUACAAUUUUUUCAAUACUCCCAAACGAAAUCAUGUGUUAUUAUCUACUAUCGAAAACAGUAAUGUUGAUCAAAAAAUAAAAACAUUAAAAAGGCUAUUUGCAACUCGAUGGGUGCAAAGAUACGAUGUGAUUCAUGAUUUCAUUGAGCUUUUUAAGUUUGUAGUAGAAGCUUUAGAAUGAAUAUCAGAUUGGAAGGAUUCGUCUGCUACGGAUGCAUCAAUAAUUCUAAAAUCAAUGGACUCUGAAUUCCUAAUUUCAGUUAAUAUUGUUCAGCUAAUGUUUUCAUUUGGCUUACCGUUAUGUAAAUAAUUACAAAAAACCAAAAUUGACUUAAAAGAAGCCAUUGAUCUCGCACAAGAUACUAUCAAUGAG